rnacentral:rRNA from 1 species
GAUGAACGCUGGCGGCGUGCCUAAUACAUGCAAGUCGAGCGAAGCGGGGACGGGUGAGUAACACGUGGAUAACCUCCUAUAAGACAGGGAUAACUUCGGGAACCCGGGGAUAAACCGGAUAAUUAUAGAUGGAUCCGCGCUGCAUUAGCUAGUUGGUAAGGUAACGGCUUACCAAAGCAACGAGGCAUAGCCGACCGGAGAGGGGGUGCAGGCACACGGGAAUGGAACCACGGCCCAGACUCCUACGGUAGGCAGCGGAAGAGUGUCUUCCGCAAUUGGAGGGAGCCUGACGGGGAAACGCCGCGUGAGUUAUAGAGGGCAUCGGAUCGUAAAAGUCUGUUAUUAGGGAAGCGGUACCUAAUCAGAAAGCCACGGCUAACUACGUGCCAGCAGCCGCGGUAAUAC